rnacentral:rRNA from 1 species
AGCAGCAGCCGCGGUAACACGUAGGGUGCAAGCGUUAAUCGGAAUUACUGGGCGUAAAGCGUGCGCAGGCGGUUCUAUAAGACAGAUGUGAAAUCCCCGGGCUCAACCUGGGAACUGCAUUUGUGACUGUAGAGCUGGAGUGCGGCAGAGGGGGAUGGAAUUCCGCGUGUAGCAGUGAAAUGCGUAGAUAUGCGGAGGAACACCGAUGGCGAAGGCAAUCCCCUGGGCCUGCACUGACGCUCAUGCACGAAAGCGUGGGGAGCAAACAGGAUUAGAUACCCCUGUAGUCCCUGUCUCUUAUAC